GCAAUAACUAAGAGGAAAAAGAAGUCCUUACUUGCAAUGAGUAGCAAUGGCUGCAAGCCCAUCGGUACUAAACCCAUCGCAGCUCAGAAGGGACAGAGCUUUAAAGUUUGGAAAGUUGAGAGCCAAAAACUCCAAGCUCUCGUCAGUGACAGUCAUUCUUUUAAGCCUAAGCUCCUCUAGAAAUGGGUACUUGGAGGCAAAAACGACAAGCCA
rnacentral:misc_RNA from 1 species